UACGGGGGGAGCAAGCGUUGUUCGGAUUUACUGGGCGUAAAGGGCGCGUAGGCGGCCACCGCAAGUCGACUGUGAAAUCUCCGAGCUUAACUCGGAACUGUCAGCUGAUACUGAUGUGCUAGAGUGCAGAAGGGGCAAUCGGAAUUCUUGGUGUAGCGGUGAAAUGCGUAGAUAUCAAGAGGAACACCUGAGGUGAAGACGGGUUGCUGGGCUGACACUGACGCUGAGGCGCGAAAGCCAGGGGAGCAAACGGG
rnacentral:rRNA from 1 species